UUAAGCGACUAAGCGUACACGGUGGAUGCCCUGGCAGUCAGAGGCGAUGAAGGACGUGCUAAUCUGCGAUAAGCGUCGGUAAGGUGAUAUGAACCGUUAUAACCGGCGAUUUCCGAAUGGGGAAACCCAGUGUGUUUCGACACACUAUCAUUAACUGAAUCCAUAGGUUAAUGAGGCGAACCGGGGGAACUGAAACAUCUAAGUACCCCGAGGAAAAGAAAUCAACCGAGAUUCCCCCAGUAGCGGCGAGCGAACGGGGAGCAGCCCAGAGCCUGAAUCAGUGUGUGUGUUAGUGGAAGCGUCUGGAAAGGCGCGCGAUACAGGGUGACAGCCCCGUACACAAAAAUGCACAUGCUGUGAGCUCGAUGAGUAGGGCGGGACACGUGGUAUCCUGUCUGAAUAUGGGGGGACCAUCCUCCAAGGCUAAAUACUCCUGACUGACCGAUAGUGAACCAGUACCGUGAGGGAAAGGCGAAAAGAACCCCGGCGAGGGGAGUGAAAAAGAACCUGAAACCGUGUACGUACAAGCAGUGGGAGCACGCUUAGGCGUGUGACUGCGUACCUUUUGUAUAAUGGGUCAGCGACUUAUAUUCUGUAGCAAGGUUAACCGAAUAGGGGAGCCGAAGGGAAACCGAGUCUUAACUGGGCGUUAAGUUGCAGGAUAUAGACCCGAAACCCGGUGAUCUAGCCAUGGGCAGGUUGAAGGUUGGGUAACACUAACUGGAGGACCGAACCGACUAAUGUUGAAAAAUUAGCGGAUGACUUGUGGCUGGGGGUGAAAGGCCAAUCAAACCGGGAGAUAGCUGGUUCUCCCCGAAAGCUAUUUAGGUAGCGCCUCGUGAAUUCAUCUCCGGGGGUAGAGCACUGUUUCGGCAAGGGGGUCAUCCCGACUUACCAACCCGAUGCAAACUGCGAAUACCGGAGAAUGUUAUCACGGGAGACACACGGCGGGUGCUAACGUCCGUCGUGAAGAGGGAAACAACCCAGACCGCCAGCUAAGGUCCCAAAGUCAUGGUUAAGUGGGAAACGAUGUGGGAAGGCCCAGACAGCCAGGAUGUUGGCUUAGAAGCAGCCAUCAUUUAAAGAAAGCGUAAUAGCUCACUGGUCGAGUCGGCCUGCGCGGAAGAUGUAACGGGGCUAAACCAUGCACCGAAGCUGCGGCAGCGACGCUUAUGCGUUGUUGGGUAGGGGAGCGUUCUGUAAGCCUGCGAAGGUGUGCUGUGAGGCAUGCUGGAGGUAUCAGAAGUGCGAAUGCUGACAUAAGUAACGAUAAAGCGGGUGAAAAGCCCGCUCGCCGGAAGACCAAGGGUUCCUGUCCAACGUUAAUCGGGGCAGGGUGAGUCGACCCCUAAGGCGAGGCCGAAAGGCGUAGUCGAUGGGAAACAGGUUAAUAUUCCUGUACUUGGUGUUACUGCGAAGGGGGGACGGAGAAGGCUAUGUUGGCCGGGCGACGGUUGUCCCGGUUUAAGCGUGUAGGCUGGUUUUCCAGGCAAAUCCGGAAAAUCAAGGCUGAGGCGUGAUGACGAGGCACUACGGUGCUGAAGCAACAAAUGCCCUGCUUCCAGGAAAAGCCUCUAAGCAUCAGGUAACAUCAAAUCGUACCCCAAACCGACACAGGUGGUCAGGUAGAGAAUACCAAGGCGCUUGAGAGAACUCGGGUGAAGGAACUAGGCAAAAUGGUGCCGUAACUUCGGGAGAAGGCACGCUGAUAUGUAGGUGAAGCGACUUGCUCGUGGAGCUGAAAUCAGUCGAAGAUACCAGCUGGCUGCAACUGUUUAUUAAAAACACAGCACUGUGCAAACACGAAAGUGGACGUAUACGGUGUGACGCCUGCCCGGUGCCGGAAGGUUAAUUGAUGGGGUUAGCGCAAGCGAAGCUCUUGAUCGAAGCCCCGGUAAACGGCGGCCGUAACUAUAACGGUCCUAAGGUAGCGAAAUUCCUUGUCGGGUAAGUUCCGACCUGCACGAAUGGCGUAAUGAUGGCCAGGCUGUCUCCACCCGAGACUCAGUGAAAUUGAACUCGCUGUGAAGAUGCAGUGUACCCGCGGCAAGACGGAAAGACCCCGUGAACCUUUACUAUAGCUUGACACUGAACAUUGAGCCUUGAUGUGUAGGAUAGGUGGGAGGCUUUGAAGUGUGGACGCCAGUCUGCAUGGAGCCGACCUUGAAAUACCACCCUUUAAUGUUUGAUGUUCUAACGUUGACCCGUAAUCCGGGUUGCGGACAGUGUCUGGUGGGUAGUUUGACUGGGGCGGUCUCCUCCUAAAGAGUAACGGAGGAGCACGAAGGUUGGCUAAUCCUGGUCGGACAUCAGGAGGUUAGUGCAAUGGCAUAAGCCAGCUUGACUGCGAGCGUGACGGCGCGAGCAGGUGCGAAAGCAGGUCAUAGUGAUCCGGUGGUUCUGAAUGGAAGGGCCAUCGCUCAACGGAUAAAAGGUACUCCGGGGAUAACAGGCUGAUACCGCCCAAGAGUUCAUAUCGACGGCGGUGUUUGGCACCUCGAUGUCGGCUCAUCACAUCCUGGGGCUGAAGUAGGUCCCAAGGGUAUGGCUGUUCGCCAUUUAAAGUGGUACGCGAGC
rnacentral:rRNA from 1 species